rnacentral:rRNA from 1 species
GACGAACGCUGGCGGCGUGCCUAACACAUGCAAGUCGAACGGAACUGUUUUGAAAGAUUUCUUCGGAAUGAAUUUGAUUUAGUUUAGUGGCGGACGGGUGAGUAACGCGUGAGUAACCUGCCUUCAAGAGGGGGAUAACAUUCUGAAAAGAAUGCUAAUACCGCAUGACAUAUCGGAACCACGUGGUUUUGAUAUCAAAGAUUUUAUCGCUUGAAGAUGGACUCGCGUCCGAUUAGUUAGUUGGUGAGGUAACGGCUCACCAAGACCGCGAUCGGUAGCCGGACUGAGAGGUUGAACGGCCACAUUGGGACUGAGACACGGCCCAGACUCCUACGGGAGGCAGCAGUGGGGGAUAUUGCGCAAUGGGGGCAACCCUGACGCAGCAACGCCGCGUGAAGGAUGAAGGUUUUCGGAUUGUAAACUUCUUUUAUUAAGGACGAAAAAUGACGGUACUUAAUGAAUAAGCU